UCCCUGGUGAUCCAGUGGUCAGGAUACGGCUUUCUCUGCCGAGGCCCGGGUUCGAUCCCCGGUCAGGGAU